rnacentral:rRNA from 1 species
AUUGAACGCUGGCGGCAGGCCUAACACAUGCAAGUCGAACGAGUGGCGGACGGGUGAGUAAUGUCUGGGAAACUGCCCGAUGGAGGGGGAUAACUACUGGAAACGGUAGCUAAUACCGCCUACCAUCGGAUGUGCCCAGAUGGGAUUAGCUAGUAGGUGGGGUAACGGCUCACCUAGGCGACGAACCCUAGCUGGUCUGAGUGGAUGACAAGCCACACUGGAACUGGGACACGGUCCAGCCUCCUACGGGAGGCAGCAGUGGGGAAUAUUGCACAAUGGGCGAAAGCCUGAGGCAGCAAUGCCGCGUGGAUGAAGAAGGCCUUCGGGUUUUAAAGUACUUUCAGCGAGGAGGCGUUACUCGCAGAAGAAGCACCGGCUAACUCCGUGCCAGCAGCCGCGGUAAUAC